UACGGGGGGGGCAAGCGUUGUUCGGAAUUACUGGGCGUAAAGGGCGCGUAGGCGGUUCGCUAAGUCGGAUGUGAAAACUCUGGGCUCAACCCAGAGCCUGCAUCCGAAACUGGCGGGCUAGAGUUCUGGAGGGGGUAGCGGAAUUCCUGGUGUAGCGGUGAAAUGCGUAGAUAUCAGGAGGAACACCAGUGGCGAAGGCGGCGAUCUGGGAACAUACUGACGCUGAGGUGCGAAAGCGUGGGGAGCAAACAGG
rnacentral:rRNA from 1 species